UGCAGAGUAAGUUCAUGAGCGUAAAGUGCCUUCCGGAUGGAGAGUUGCCGGAGGACGAAAAGAGAAAUCUUGCGGUUUGUGGAUUGCUUCUCGCUGCA
rfam:Ruminococcus sp. CAG:60 genomic scaffold, scf266